AUGUGGCUGCCUCACUCUAGGGCACUGGAAAGGAAUGGAGAAAAGAGGGGGUUGCCAAGGAGGGUGCAAGGAAAAUUGUCCACUGAAUUUUGCCACCUACAGAAAAGGCAAGGACUGUACUAUGAUUCUCAUAGUCAGAAGAGUUAUGAUGCACUGCUGAAGGAUAGACGGGCAUUGAGUUCAGAAAACAAAAAGUUGUAUAUGACUGACUGGAUCAAGAACAGAGACCGUCAUGAGUGGGCAGUGGUGCUUUCCACAGAAGGAAGAUGGUCUAAGCAAAGAGGAGACAAACACAAAGCAAAUAUGGGUCUGUGCUGCCUCCCCAUGCAGCAAUCAUUCCACUGGACUGGAGGUUGGCAGCAGAGGGAAGCUUCCUGAAUUUGCUUUGUGGAAUACGACAUAGAAAGAAGACUGGGUUGGGCGUGCUAGCUCACGCCUGUAAUCCCAGCACUUUGGGAGGCUGAGGCAAGCAGAUCACUUGAGGUCAGGAGUUCGAGACCAGCCUGGACAACAUGGUGAAACCCCAUCUCUACUAAAAAUACAAAAUUUAGCCAGGCGUGGUGGCGCGUGUCUGUAAUCCCAGCUGCUCAGGAGGCUGAGGCAGGAGAAUCCCUUGAACCCAGGAGGUGGAGGUUGUAGUGAGCUGAGAUCUUGACAUUGCACUCCAGCCUGAGGGGCAGAACAAUACUUUGUCUCAAAAAAAAAAAAAAGAAAAAAGAAAGUAGACUGAAGACAGACUGGGUGAAUAGACAUUACUUCGUUUUAUUUUUGAUUAACAAGUUUACACUGGAAUUAACAAUAGUUCUCAUUUUUUUGGAUAACCUUAAUUUGUCCUCAUUUGAAGCAUUAAAAUUUAUGAACAGUGUUAAUGGAAGGGCUUUUGGCCUAACUAUGCAGUCGCCGUUUCUUUAACUUCUCACCCCACCUCCACGAGGGAAAAUUCAUUUUGCAAAGCUUUUAGCGGCGCGUAUAUUUCAUGUGAAUCUGCCUUUCCCAUUUGGCAUGCCUAGUUUUACAUUACUUCUGGCCACUGUUUCAUUAAUGGCAUUAGGAUUUUUAUUUUCCUGAUCCAAGGGCAGAAGAAUUGGACCCAUUCUAUCUGGUAAUUCAUCAAACAGUUUCUCUACCACAAAGAACAUUUUUUCUUCCCUCUCUCUGGGUUUCUGGCAGCUCAUCUCACCCUGCCAGGGGAGAUUGAACAGUUUACUCUUUUGAAGAGUUCACAUCAGAAGAUCUCACCACAUGCCUCUAAGAUUUCACCUCAUGAGAAAUUCCCCGUCAAAUCUGUGGUUUUGCCUCUUCCCAGGACCUUUUGAAUUCCGUAAUGGCGUCAUGUGCUGGCUGUGCAGUUUGCCCCUUUUCAAACAUUUACAGAUGCUUUUAGGAGUCUCUUUAGAAAGAAAAAGGUUGGUGGUCACGGUGGGGAGGGGCUGGAAAUCCCUCAGCAGGCAGAAGAUGGUCUCUGAAUAAUUCAGGACACACCACGGGGCGCUGCUAAUACCGGCUCCCCCAGGGCCGCGGUGAACGUGAACACUCUUAUUUCUGGUCUCUGGGGAAAAUAACUGUAGUAGAAGGGGGAGUCCCUCAGCCACAUGUGAUUUGGAGUGGGUUAGGCUUUCUCUAAACCCUGGCUGUGCAUCACCUUUCCUGGGGGAAUUUAAAACAAGCCCAAUGUCAGGCCCCUCCCCAGGCCCGGGAAUGAGAGCUCCUGGCGGCGGGACCAGGAAUGGGUGUCUUUGGAAGCUUUGUAGCCACCUCGGAUGCACACCCAGCACCGAGAGGCUGAGAGCCGCUGCCGGAGGCCUGGGUCCAUGCUGGGUCACGCCACUGGGCAGGAGCUUCUGGAAAGAAGUGGAAGCCCUCAUAAGCACCUUCCUGCCAUCCAUGCCAACCUCCCCUUCUUGUUCUCUCCUUCUCUGCUUCUCAUCGCCAAGAGGGAACAUUCCUGGGCACGGUGAGAGGCCGCUCUGUGGUGCCCAUUCGCACUGAGAGGGACUGGCUGGGGAUGCCUACCGGUGCCACUGAGGCUUUGGGGUCCCCUUUCAGAGGGGGCAUCUCAAACACUCUUGCCUGGAUUCCCAGCUGAUCGGCGGCCCCUCCACGGGCCUUCCUUCCCGUAGGCCGGGCAUGUGGGUGCGGCUCUCCAGUGACAGCCCCGAGGGCCUGUUCAGGGCAAUGCCAAGCCCCCCGCCAAAGGCAGCUACCUGGCACUUGUGUGCACCUCGCGGGAGCUGCGGUGGUCAGACUCCUCUGUCUGAGGUGCCAAGAAAGCGUGUUCUGAAGACAGGAGAAAAGCCCCGCGAGAUGGGGAGAAAAGGAACGUUUCCUGCUUUGCUGUGCUGGCACUUCACAAGUGAAAUCAAGGAAACAUUCUAAAAUACAAAAUCAGGCAGUUUGUGUAUUUGGUCGCCUUGAUUUGACUAUUUAGCUCGUGCUUGUCGGUCAUUCCCAAGAUGCUUGUAUGAAUUCUGCAGAGGUUAGUUACCAUGUUCACCGGGGAGCAUCGUGGGCGCGGGGCGGGGAGAAGGCUGCUGGCGCGCGCGGGGCCUCCUGCCAGUCUCUGCUUCGGCAGCUAUUCCUGGCCAAAGUUACUGUCCACGACAAAACCAGGUCGUUAAGCACAGCCACUGGUGACAAAUUAAUCCUUAAUGGCGUUUUCUUACUAUAAAAGCGACCUAGGUUGUAGAAAAGUUAGCAAAUGUUGAUAUAUCAAAUUGAUCCCACCCUCUGGUUAAAAGUCCCUGUGGAUUUUUUUUCUCUGUCCCCACACACUUGCCCUCAGGACAAAAAUGGAAUUGUUCCCUCAUGGCCCCACUGCUUCGUAACCUGCUUUUAUU
rnacentral:lncRNA from 1 species